GACAGAGGGGGCGAGCGUUGUCCGGAGUCACUGGGCGUAAAGCGCGCGCAGGCGGCAACCUAAGUGUCGUGUGAAAGCCCCCGGCUCAACCGGGGGAGGCCAUGGCAAACUGGGUCGCUCGAGCUGCGGAGAGGCCCCUCGAAUUGCCGGUGUAGCGGUGAAAUGCGUAGAGAUCGGCAGGAAGGCCAAGGGGGGAGCCAGGGGGCUGGCCGCAGGCUGACGCUGAGGCGCGACAGCGUGGGGAGCAAACCGG
rnacentral:rRNA from 1 species